CAGGUCUUACGAGGAUAGAGCGAUACGAUGUUUCGAAGUCUGCCACCUCGAACCGGAUGUACUCUGUCUGGUAGUGUUCUUUUGUCCUGAAGGUAACUAGCAAAACCACCUGUCUAAGGGGUACAGCCGUGUUGCCAGGGAUGAUCCCGUAGAAUGGAGAGUUCGUUGGGGUGAGCAUGUUAGUAAUGUCGAGGCUCAUCUUCGUUAGUGUCUUGGUGAAG
rnacentral:lncRNA from 1 species